GAGUACUUAACUCACCAAACCCACUGUGAACAUACCUACGUUGCUUCGGCGGAACGCCCCGGCGCCCUCGGGCCCGGAACCAGGCGCCCGCCGGAGGACCCAAACUCUUGUUUUAAACCAUGUUUUACUCUGAGUGGCGAAAGCAAAAAAAUAAAUCAAAACUUUUAACAACGGAUCUCUUGGCUCU
rnacentral:misc_RNA from 1 species